CAGGAGCUAGUUUAAAAGAAAAUAGUUGUUUUGGGGACAACAGACGCAAAACUCAAUAUUUGCGCACCUGA
rnacentral:tRNA from 1 species